rnacentral:rRNA from 1 species
ACACGGAGCUUGCUCUGUGGGAUCAGUGGCGAACGGGUGAGUAACACGUGAGCAACCUGCCCCUGACUCUGGGAUAAGCGCUGGAAACGGCGUCUAAUACUGGAUAUGUGACGUGACCGCAUGGUCUGCGUUUGGAAAGAUUUUUCGGUUGGGGAUGGGCUCGCGGCCUAUCAGCUUGUUGGUGAGGUAAUGGCUCACCAAGGCGUCGACGGGUAGCCGGCCUGAGAGGGUGACCGGCCACACUGGGACUGAGACACGGCCCAGACUCCUACGGGAGGCAGCAGUGGGGAAUAUUGCACAAUGGGCGGAAGCCUGAUGCAGCAACGCCGCGUGAGGGAUGACGGCCUUCGGGUUGUAAACCUCUUUUAGCAGGGAAGAAGCGAAAGUGACGGUACCUGCAGAAAAAGCGCCGGCUAACUACGUGCCAGCAGCCGCGGUAAUACGUAGGGCGCAAGCGUUAUCCGGAAUUAUUGGGCGUAAAGAGCUCGUAGGCGGUUUGUCGCGUCUGCUGUGAAAUCCCGAGGCUCAACCUCGGGCCUGCAGUGGGUACGGGCAGACUAGAGUGCGGGUAGGGGAGAUUGGAAUUCCUGGUGUAGCGGUGGAAUGCGCAGAUAUCAGGAGGAACACCGAUGGCGAAGGCAGAUCUCUGGGCCGUAACUGACGCUGAGGAGCGAAAGGGGUGGGGAGCAAACAGGCUUAAGAUACCCUGGUAGUCCACCCCGUA